rnacentral:lncRNA from 1 species
AUGAGACCUUUGCUUGCUGUUCUUCUCAUGGCUAUGGCGGCGGUUUUCUGGUGUGAAGCUACUCCCAUGGAUUUGUUUAGGAAGUUCAUCAUAGAUAACAUAAUUUUUCUGAAAGAAAUAAUUCGGGUUGUAUUGGAAAAGAAGGAAUGUAUGAAACAACUAAGUGAAGAACAAAUUAAGUUCCUGAGUGAUUUCAUGGAAAAUUGGAAGAGUAUGGGAAAAUCUUUCUCCUAGGCUAGGAACUUUCUGGAGCCAAAUGACCUUAUUGUCAACCAAGAGCCCACUCACUGUAGAAUGUAGACCUAGAUGUUGCCUGUGACCCUCUGGACUCACACCAAAGCUUCUCCUCAAUAAAUCAAAUGCAAUUCAUCCCUGAAUCUGUCCU